AUAAAAAACCAAUGCUCUUCGGGGCUCUCUUGGUGAUUCAUGAUAACUUCUCGAAUCGCACGGCCCCGCGCCGGCGAUGGUUCAUUCAAAUUUCUUCCUUACCAACUUUCGAUGCUACGGUAUUGUCCUAGCAUGGUUG
rnacentral:rRNA from 1 species